rnacentral:rRNA from 1 species
UACGGGGGGGGCAAGCGUUGUUCGGAAUUACUGGGCGUAAAGGGCUCGUAGGCGGCCAACUAAGUCAGACGUGAAAUCCCUCAGCUUAACUGGGGAACUGCGUCUGAUACUGGAUGGCUUGAGUGUGGGAGAGGAAUGCGGAAUUCCAGGUGUAGCGGUGAAAUGCGUAGAUAUCUGGAGGAACACCGGUGGCGAAGGCGGCAUUCUGGACCAUAACUGACACUGAGAGACGAAAGCCAGGGGAGCAAACGGG